CAGCCGCCACGGUAAUACGUAGGUGGCAAGCGUUGUCCGGAAUUAUUGGGCGUAAAGGGCUCGCAGGCGGUUUCUUAAGUCUGAUGUGAAAGCCCCCGGCUCAACCGGGGAGGGUCAUUGGAAACUGGGAAACUUGAGUGCAGAAGAGGAGAGUGGAAUUCCACGUGUAGCGGUGAAAUGCGUAGAGAUGUGGAGGAACACCAGUGGCGAAGGCGACUCUCUGGUCUGUAACUGACGCUGAGGAGCGAAAGCGUGGGGAGCGAAUAGGAUUAGAUACCCGCGUAGUCCCUGUCUCUUAUAC
rnacentral:rRNA from 1 species